rnacentral:rRNA from 1 species
AUUCCAGCUCCAAUAGCGUAUAUUAAAGUUGUUGCAGUUAAAAAGCUCGUAGUUGGAUUUCCGGCGUGAGGGAUCAGUCUGACUUCUAGUCAGUACUUGGUCCUCUCAUGCCGUCCUUGAAUGGUGCAUCCUGGCAUUAAGUUGUCGGGGUGAGAGCCGUUCAUCGUUUACUGUGAGAAAAUUAGAGUGUUCAAAGCAGGCUUAUGCCGUUGAAUAUAUUAGCAUGGAAUAAUAAGAUAGGACUUUGGUACUAUUUUGUUGGUUUGGGAACCAAGGUAAUGAUCAAUAGGGAUAGUUGGGGGCGUUUAUAUUCCGUUGUCAGAGGUGAAAUUCUUGGAUUUACGGAAGAUAAACUACUGCGAAAGCAUUCGCCAAGGAUGUUUUCAUUA